GAUGAACGCUGGCGGCGUGCUUAACACAUGCAAGUCGAACGGAAAGGCCCAAGCUUGCUUGGGUACUCGAGUGGCGAACGGGUGAGUAACACGUGGGUGAUCUGCCCUGCACUUCGGGAUAAGCCUGGGAAACUGGGUCUAAUACCGGAUAGGACGAUGGUUUGGAUGCCAUUGUGGAAAGUUAUUUCGGUGUGGGAUGAGCUCGCGGACUAUCAGCUUGUUGGUGGGGUAAUGGCCUACCAAGGCGUCGACGGGUAGCCGGCCUGAGAGGGUGUACGGCCACAUUGGGACUGAGAUACGGCCCAGACUCGUACGGGAGGCAGCAGUGGGGAAUAUUGCACAAUGGGAGCAAGCCUGAUGCAGCGAGGCCGCGUGGGGGAUGACGGCCUUCGGGUUGUAAACUCCUUUCGCUAGGGAAGAAGCGUUUUUGUGACGGUACCUGGAGAAGAAGCACCGGCUAACUACGUG
rnacentral:rRNA from 1 species